GAUGAACGCUGGCGGCGUGCCUAGUACAUGCAAGUCGAGCGAACGGGCGAGAAGCUUGCUUCUCUGAUGUUAGCGGCGGACGGGUGAGUAACACGUGGAUAACCUACCUAUAAGACUGGGAUAACUUCGGGAAACCGGAGCUAAUACCGGAUGAUAUUUUGAACCGCAUGGUUCAAAAGUGAAAGACGGUCUUGCUGUCACUUAUAGAUGGAUCCGCGCUGCAUUAGCUAGUUGGUAAGGUAACGGCUUACCAAGGCAACGAUGCAUAGCCGACCUGAGAGGGUGAUCGGCCACACUGGAACUGAGACACGGUCCAGACUCCUACGGGAGGCAGCAGUAGGGAAUCUUCCGCAAUGGGCGAAAGCCUGACGGAGCAACGCCGCGUGAGUGAUGAAGGUCUUCGGACCGUAAAACUCUGUUAUUAGGGAAGAACAUAUGUGUAAGUAACUGUGCACAUCUUGACGGUACCUAAUCAGAAAGCCACGGCUAACUACGUG
rnacentral:rRNA from 1 species